AAUCCAUAGGUUAAUGAGGCGAACCGGGGGAACUGAAACAUCUAAGUACCCCGAGGAAAAGAAAUCAACCGAGAUUCCCCCAGUAGCGGCGAGCGAACGGGGAGGAGCCCAGAGCCUGAAUCAGCAUAUGUGUUAGUGGAAGCGUCUGGAAAGGCGCGCGAUACAGGGUGACAGCCCCGUACACAAAAGCGCAUGUGCUGUGAGCUCGAUGAGUAGGGCGGGACACGUGGUAUCCUGUCUGAAUAUGGGGGGACCAUCCUCCAAGGCUAAAUACUCCUGACUGACCGAUAGUGAACCAGUACCGUGAGGGAAAGGCGAAAAGAACCCCGGCGAGGGGAGUGAAAAAGAACCUGAAACCGUGUACGUACAAGCAGUGGGAGCACAGGUUUACCUGUGUGACUGCGUACCUUUUGUAUAAUGGGUCAGCGACUUAUAUUCUGUAGCAAGGUUAACCGUAUAGGGGAGCCGGAGGGAAACCGAGUCUUAACCGGGCGUUAAGUUGCAGGGUAUAGACCCGAAACCCGGUGAUCUAGCCAUGGGCAGGUUGAAGGUUGGGUAACACUAACUGGAGGACCGAACCGACUAAUGUUGAAAAAUUAGCGGAUGACCUGUGGCUGGGGGUGAAAGGCCAAUCAAACCGGGAGAUAGCUGGUUCUCCCCGAAAGCUAUUUAGGUAGCGCCUCGUGAAUUCAUCUCCGGGGGUAGAGCACUGUUUCGGCUAGGGGGCCAUCCCGGCUUACCAACCCGAUGCAAACUGCGAAUACCGGAGAAUGUUAUCACGGGAGACACACGGCGGGUGCUAACGUCCGUCGUGAAGAGGGAAACAACCCAGACCGCCAGCUAAGGUCCCAAAGUCAUGGUUAAGUGGGAAACGAUGUGGGAAGGCCCAGACAGCCAGGAUGUUGGCUUAGAAGCAGCCAUCAUUUAAAGAAAGCGUAAUAGCUCACUGGUCGAGUCGGCCUGCGCGGAAGAUGUAACGGGGCUAAACCAUGC
rnacentral:rRNA from 1 species